rnacentral:ncRNA from 2 species
UUUUUAAACCAGGGGUGCCUUCGGGCUGAGAAAGGUUGUUCAUCAACCUUAACCCUUUGAACCUGAUUCGGUUAACACCGACGGAGGGAGGUCACUUAAUGCAACG